AUACAUGUUCAGAUUCUGAACAUGCCUGAUGUCAUCUAAUCUCAGAAGCAAAACAGGGUUGGGCCUGGUUAGUACUUGGAUGGGAGAAGGCAGACUUUCCUUCCACUAGGAGUGUCAGAAUAACGCUCAUA
ensembl:rRNA 5S_rRNA 5S ribosomal RNA